UUCAACCUAAACACUAAACCACUGAACUGAAAUUUAAAGUACAUACCUAGAACAGUGUUGUGGCCUUGUGGGGCUUACUUGGCUUAGCCCACAGGUCUGAACUGGCUGAACCAAUCUGCCCUGGUGAGAAUAUCAAUCUCCUGUCUGGGUUUUAAAGUAUUCUGUUCCUUAUAUAAUCUAUCAUAUCUCAUAAGCCUUUUUUUUUUUUUUUUUUUUUUUGUUCUGUACAGUUGGCAAGAUGGAGCCUCUUGGUAAUGCAGAUAUUGUUAGACUUACAGGCAAAAAGAGGAAGUGCAUGAGCUCCAUGUGACUCCACUGAAUUUUCUUGAGCCUAGUGUGAUGCAGAAUGGUAGCUGAACGGGAUUGACCCUUCUGAUAAUUUAGAUUGAGGUGAACCGGGUCCAAGAUUGGUAUUGUUCAAUAGGAAAUUUAGGAUUUAUUUUAUUUGGGAAAGAUAUGUAAGUUUUAUGUUGAGGUAGUUAUUAGACAGGUAAGGAAUUUCCAAUUUGAGUUUUAUUGAGAUUCUAUUUUUGUUAGUCUAAGCUUUAGGAACUAGUUAGGAUAUUUUAUUUCUAUUUUAGUUUUAGACUUCAAUUGGGAAGCUUUUAAUUUCGUUUUUUUAUAAAUAGGCUUGUAACCCAAUUCAUUGGGCAGAUUUUGAGAGUGGAGUUGUUGAGUUGUUUAUGGUGCCAGAUUGGUACAUAGUAAUGGACGUGUGACCUCCUCCUUCACCCCA